AUUGAACGCUGGCGGCAGGCCUAACACAUGCAAGUCGAGCGGAGCGGCGGACGGGGGAGGAAGGCCUAGGAAUGUGCCUGUGGGAGGGGGAGAACGACAGGAAACGGAAGCUAAUACCGAAAACCAUCGGAUGUGGCUAGGCCGGAUUAGCUAGUUGGUGGGGUAAAGGCCUACCAAGGCGACGAUCCGUAACUGGUCUGAGAGGAUGAGCAGUCACACUGGAACUGAGACACGGUCCAGACUCCUACGGGAGGCAGCAGUGGGGAAUAUUGGACAAUGGGCGAAAGCCUGAUCCAGCCAUGCCGCGUGUGUGAAGAAGGUCUUCGGAUUGUAAAGCACUUUAAGUUGGGAGGCGUUACCAGCAGAAUAAGCACCGGCUAACUUCGUGCCAGCAGCCGCGGUAAUUC
rnacentral:rRNA from 1 species